UUUUUUGGUUAAAAAAGUUAACCUAAUGAACAUUCGAUUUAAUUCGGCCUCCUUUAUUAAUUUUUAUAAAAACCUUUUCGGAUCUUUUUUUUUGGUCGGCGUGCCGCCGUGGAGUUCUCACCGUCCGAUGCAAAAGGAAUUACGUAUACACAGCAUUCAUCAGGCUCACAUGAUAUUGUGUGCUGUGCGAUUGUGAGGAUGCACUAUUGGAUUGGUGGUUUUAAAAUUGUGAUAUUGGCAAUGGGCUGCGGACAUUUUUCUGUGGAUGGACAAGAAAACUAAUGCAGUGUGCUUGGGUUUGCCACUUCACUUUGGGUGCUUUCUUAGUUGCUUCAGAACCAUUUGCUUACACUUGUUUGCCAUAUACUGAUCCUUUAGUCCUUUCCCUUUGGUCUAAUGCAUCCACCUUCAUCAACAGGUAAGUAUACUCUUUAACUUCCUUAUUAAUUUGUCUACCUUAGGAUAAACCUUGAAAUAUAUGCACCAGAUCUCCACCCGAAAUUCCAGAUGUCAUUCUGCCUGAAUACAUUGUCCUGGGUGUUGCUGCUGCACUCAGGACUGAAAUAAACAAAGCUCUUGAAAAUAAUUUCUAUUGCUGCUACACUCAGUCCUGUUGCUGCUGCACUCAGGACUGUAUGUUAUCAUGUCUUUCUUGUUGAUAUUAUCUUCCGAAAUAAUUCCUGCUACGCCAUACAUAUCUGUAAAGCUUUCAUCGCUAAAUUUAUUUAUUUUUACUUCCAUCCAAUUAAUGUAGUCUAUUUUUUUGUCGGGUGGUUCUACCAUUCUAGAGCGUAGGAGUGUAUGUUAUCAUGUCUUUCUUAGAUGCUUUGGAGCUCACGUUUGGGAUAUUCAAUAAUUGUAUUCGGGUUCAUCUUCCUUCUAGAUUUAGAUGUAAGGUAUAGGAGUUUUAGAGGCUUUUACCUAAUGCUCUUGAAUAUGAACUAGUUUAGCGUGAGGUUAUUUGGGCAAAGUCUAUUCAACAAUCGUUGUUCGGAUACAUAAGCCAUGAUUGUAUUUCCUUGCAAGUGAGAGGGAAAGGUCAGUAUCUGCCUUAUAUAUCUAUCCGUAAAUAGACAAGGGUUUCAAAGUCUUGCCUAGAAUAUUUUUAAUAGAAAUUGAUUUGCUUUUACUAUUUUAUGUGGGUUUGAAAUAUAUAUUUUUCUAGUGAAGUUUAUGUGUAUCAAAGAUUUCGUGAUGAGAAUGUUUAUAAAUGACGUUGAGCUGCUUAUACUUUUCAUCUUAUUCUUGUAUCAAGGUUGUGAAUGCAAGUAUAAGCAGUUUAACAUCAUUUAUAAGUGUUUUCAUCACCAAAUCUUUGUUACGCAUGAACUUUACUAGUGUAGUAUAUAUCUCAAAGCCUACAUAUAAUGGAAAAUGCAAAUCAAUUUCUAUUAAAAACAUUUUGGGCAAGGGUGCACUUCAACUUUGCAGCCCUUACCUCUUUACGGAUGAAUAUUUAAGGUAGAAGCGAACUUUCUCUCCUUGUUCCAAUGAAAUACAAUCCUAUAUCUUCUUUAUCCGAACAAUGGUUGUUAAAUAGACUAGCCCAAAUAUCCCCCACGCGGAACUAGUUCAAAUUUAAGAGUAUGAGGCAAUAUCCCUAAGAACUCAUACACCUUAUGUCUUACUCUAUAAAGAGAAUGGGCGUGGAUAAAAUUAUUAAGCAUCCUAAGUGCAAACAUUAGAACAUUUGAUGUGUCAAAACUUCCUCUUAAAUACAAAGGGAAAACUAUUAUCUAUAGAAAAGAGAAUGCUGCCCGUUACUCAAAUUAAAGUAAGAUCAUCAAUAUAUAUGUAGUUUGUAGAAUAAUAAAAGGUCUUACUCCAAUACCAUUACCACUAGGCCAUAUUCUCGGGGAACAACAUUAUGUUGUUAAACAAAAAAGUAUUAUAAAUUUAUUUGUACUUAUCAGUAGGGAAAUUACAAAGAAGAGCAAGUUAAUCAUUUAGCUGACCACUAGCAAAGAUGAGCUGAAUAUUAAUUAGUAAUAAAUGUACAUGAUGAAGUGUAUAGCUUACUUGUAGGAAUGAGCAAGUGUUGGAUCACAAGGGUGUCGUAAGUGGGUUCAUCAUUCCACUCGGGUUUAUCAUUUCACUCUAUAUCAUAGUAUUAUGGACUAUUUUCUGUUUUCAGUUAUGGGAAACAAGAAAUUAUGGGUAAGUCGGUUAUAUGGGAGCCAUACAUUAUUUAUUUUCUAAAAAUUUCAGUUAAGUAACUUAAUGAGAUGUAGAGUAGUUGAAGAUGUAUGUUUUACUUGAAUUUGCACCACUCAACAGCCUUACAAGUUCUUUCCUAUGCAAUUAUUAGUCUUUCUCUUUUUUGCAUUUUAGGGGAAGUUUUGAGAUCCUAGAUGUUUUCGAACUUGCACAUCAGAUUUUCAAUAAUCGUAUCUAGGUUCAUCCUCCUUCUAGCGUUAGAUGUAAGAUGUAGAAAUUUUUAGGAAUUUUGCCUAAUACUAUUGAGUAUGAAGUAGUUUCGCAUAAGGUUAUUUGGGCAAAAUUUAUUCAACAAUCAUUGUCUGGAUAAAGAAGACAUAAAACUAUAUUUUCUUGCAAGUGAGAGAGAAAGAUUAGCUUCUACCUUAUAUAUCUAUUCGAAAAUGGAUAGAGUUGCAAAGUAUAACUGCACCCUUGCCCAGGAAUAUUUUUAGUAGAAAUUGAUUUGCAUUUCUCAUUUUAUGUAGGUAGGUCUAAGAUAUAUAUAUUGCUCUAGUGAAAUUUAUGUGUAUCAAAUAUUUGGUGAUGAAAAUGCUUGUAAAUGAUGUUGAACUGCUUAUACUUCCAUCCAGUUCCUGUAUUAGGGUUGUGGAUGCAAGUAUAAACAACUCAACAUCAUUUAUAAGCAUUCUCAUCACCAAAUCUUUGCUACACAUGAAUUUCACAAAAACAAUAUAUAUCUCAGUCCUACAUAUAAUGGAAAAUGCAAAUCAAUUUCUAGUAAAAACAUUCUUGGGCAAAGACACACUUCUACUUUGCAAACCUUACCCCUUUACAGAUGGAUAAUUUAAGUAGAAGCUAACAUAUAUCUCCCACUUGCAAAGAAAUAUUGUCCUAUAUCUUCUUGAACCAAACGAUGAUUGUUGAAUACAUCUUACCUUUAAUUCAAGAAGGAGGAUGGGCGUGGAUACAAUUAUUGAGCAUCCUAAGUGCAAAUUCCAGAGCACCUGAAAUGUCAAAACUUCCGUGAAAAUACAAAGAGAAAGACUUGUUAAUUAUAGAGAAGAGAACUUGUAUUCUUGUUUAAUGAUGAAAGUCCCUCAAAUUAAAGUAAGAUUAUCAAUAUAUAUGUAGUUUGUAGAAUAAUCAAAGGUGUUACUCCUAUAUCUUAACCACUAGCCAUCUCCUUUGGGACCAACAUUAUGCUGAUAACCAAAAGUAUUAUAAAUUUAUUCCUACUUAUCAAUAGGAAGAUUACAAAGAAGAUGAGCAUUUCUCAAUCAAGUUUGUUGAGAAAGCUGGGUUUAGCAUGGCUGAGUUAAAUAUCCUUAAUGCUGAAUACAACAUUUACCAGUUCUCAAAAAAAAAGAAGAGAUGGAGCAUUUCUCAAUCAAGUAAAUUUACGUGAAGCUCCGUCAGAAGAUUUGUGUGUAACAACUUGGGAUCACCUAGAUGUAUCUUUAUCUCGAGACGAGACUAGGGACAGAAUGCCGAAAUGGGGAAUGGUUGUGGAUCCUAGCUGUCCUUUCAGAACUCUCCAUCUUUUUUUUUGCUUGUACAGUUUCUGCUCAUAUCCAAGAAGUUCAUGCUAGAGGUAGAAGACAUGCUAAUUGGUUAGAGACUCGCAAUUUCUGUGUAUGUGUUGUACUCUCUGAGGUAGUUACCUCUGAUGCAAAGGGCUCACUGACCAUACUUCAGUUUUUUUAUUCUUUUCCUGUACUCCAAUGUUCAUUGGGGUUAGUAAAAUUGUUUAUUUAUAGGGAAAAAAAGGUUCACAAAGGAUUCAAAAAUGCUUAAGAUACAUUCAAAUUUUUUGUGUAACACUAUAGCAUACUAAUUUGAAUUCUCUCGUAUGAAUUUUCAUAGUCUGUUUUCUU